UUCUCCUUUUCCAUCUUUCAGAUGUCGCCAGAUGGCAGGGUUACUGUAGAAAAUUUCACUUUUUGCAGUGUUAGAGUCGCGCUCCAUUGCUACGCGUGAGAGAUAAGAGACGGCAAAGAUCUUUUUUUUUUGUUUCUCGGGCGCUAUCAU
ensembl:ncRNA F01F1.16 ncRNA